ACCUGCCUUGUCAUGGGGUGAGUGAGCUGUUCAAUGAACGUCUAGUGAGAGGAGCCCUGCUAACACCAUAACGACACAUAAGCACCACCCGGACUUCUGUCUGGGUCAUGGUGCAAUUUUUGGAACC
ensembl:snRNA